GACGAACGCUGGCGGCGUGCCUAACACAUGCAAGUCGAACGGGUUCCAUGAGCGCUUGCUCUCGGACGACCUCGUGGCGAACGGCUGCGUAACACGUGAGAAACCUGCCUCGGAGUGGGGAAUAACCCGGGGAAACUCGAGCUAAUACAGCAUACCUUCAGAUGGUCGCAUGGCCGACUGAAGAAAGAAUUUCGCUCUGAGAGGGUCUCGCGGCCUAUCAGCUAGUUGGUGGGGUAACGGCCUACCAAGGCAACGACGGGUAGCUGGAUUGAGAGAUCGAUCAGCCACACUGGGACUGAGACACGGUCCAGACUCCUACGGGAGGCAGCAGUGGGGAAUCUUGCGCAAUGGGCGAAAGCCUGACGCAGCAACGCCGCGUGCGGGAUGACGGCCUUCGUGGUUGUAAACCGCUUUCAGCAGGGACGAAAUUGACGGUACCUGCAGAAGAAGCCCCGGCUAACUAUUUGCCAGCCGCCGCAGUAA
rnacentral:rRNA from 1 species